UAGAGAAUGGUGUAUUGGAAGCACUAAGAGUUUUGAUCUCUUGAGGAUGGGUUCAAACCCCUUUUUCUAA
rnacentral:tRNA from 1 species